UGUUUGGAGGCAAUUGGUUAGGACGCUGCCCUUACAAGGCAGAGAUCGGCAGUUCAAAUCUGCCCCAGCCCA
rnacentral:tRNA from 1 species